UUUGCCAGAGUGUUUUCAUUAAUCAAGAACGAAAGUCAGAGGUUCGAAGGCGAUUAGAUACCGCCCUAGUUCUGACCGUAAACGAUGCCAACUGUCGAUCCGCUUGUGGAUUUUAUUCAUGAGCGGGGAGAUUCCCGGAAACGAAAGUUUUUCGGUUUCGGGGGAAGUAUGGUUGCAAAGCUGAAACUUAAAGGAAUUGACGGAAGGGCACCACCAGGAGUGGAGCUUGCGGCUUAAUUUGACUCAACACGGGAAAUCUCACCCGGUCAGUACAUCGUGAGGAUUGACAGACUGACAGCUCUUUCAUAAUUCGGUGAAUGGUGGUGCAUGGCCGUUCUUAGUUCGUGGAUUGAUUUGUCUGGUUUAUUCCGAUAACGAGCGAGACUUUAACUAUUAAAUAGUGCACUUGUUGCUUCGGCUGCGAGUGAACACUUCUUAAAGGAAUUUGUGGUUUCCAACCUCAAGAAAUUGAGCAAUAACAGGUCUGUGAUGCCCUUAGAUGUUCGGGGCCGCACGCGUGCUACAAUGAUGGUAACAGCGUGAUUGUCCUUUUCCGACAGGAAUUGGCAAACAGUUGAGAUAUUAUUAUGGCUGGAAUUGAGUGUUGAAAUUUUCUCUCAUGAACGAGGAAUUCCAAGUAAAUGUGAGUCAUUAACUUGCAUUGAUUACGUCCCUGCCCUUUGUACACACCGCCCGUCGCUGCCCGGGACUGAGUUACUUCGAGAAAACUAGGGAUCGUCGGUGUUCAAUGUUUCGGCAUUGUCUUCGA
rnacentral:rRNA from 1 species